UAGAAUGACAUGCAUUACAAAAGAGGUUAGUUAAUUAGCAUUGUAGAAAUAGGGAAAUGGUAAUUGUCACCGGAUUACAUUGUAGUGGGUUCAAUUGGGUUACCAUGAUUGUAUUGUAGAUUCGAAAAGAAGUUGGAUCCACGUAUAAGAAUUUGCCAGCGGAGGAAAAGUGUCGGUAUAAAAGUGAGGCGAAACGAGUAAGGAAGUCAAAAAUUGGGAAGGCAAAGUUCCUCACGAGAUGUGCUCCAGAUAGAUUAGCU
rnacentral:lncRNA from 1 species